rnacentral:rRNA from 1 species
AUUGAACGCUGGCGGCAUGCCUUACACAUGCAAGUCGAACGGUAACAGGUCUUCGGAUGCUGACGAGUGGCGAACGGGUGAGUAAUACAUCGGAACGUGCCCGAGAGUGGGGGAUAACGAGGCGAAAGCUUUGCUAAUACCGCAUACGAUCUCAGGAUGAAAGCAGGGGACCGCAAGGCCUUGCGCUCACGGAGCGGCCGAUGGCAGAUUAGGUAGUUGGUGGGAUAAAAGCUUACCAAGCCGACGAUCUGUAGCUGGUCUGAGAGGACGACCAGCCACACUGGGACUGAGACACGGCCCAGACUCCUACGGGAGGCAGCAGUGGGGAAUUUUGGACAAUGGGCGCAAGCCUGAUCCAGCCAUGCCGCGGGCAGGAUGAAGGCCUUCGGGUUGUAAACUGCUUUUGUAGGGAACGAAGAGACUCCUUCUAAUAAAGGGGGUCCAUGACGGUACCGUAAGAAUAAGCACCGGCUAACUACGUGCCAGCAGCCGCCGUAAUAC